CACCAGCCCCUCGAGUGGUGGGGACUAUUAUUUGGCCUAAAGCGUCCGUAGCUGGCUGUAUCCGUCCCCCGUUAAAUCCAGCGUCCUAAACGUUGGACUGCGGGUGAUACCAUACAGCUAGAGGGUGGGAUAGGUGAGCGGUAUUUCUGGGGUAGGGGCGAAAUCCUUUGAUCCCAGGAGGACCACCAGUGGCGAAGGCUGCUCACUAGAACACGCCUGACGGUCAGGGACGAAAGCUGGGGCAGCGAACCGGAUUAGAUACCCGGGUAGUCCCAGCUGUAAACGAUGCUAGCUAGGUGUUGGGUCGGCCACGUGCCGCCCCAGUGCCGCAGGGAAGCCGUUAAGCUAGCCGCCUGGGGAGUACGGCCGCAAGGCUGAAACUUAAAGGAAUUGACGG
rnacentral:rRNA from 1 species